rnacentral:rRNA from 1 species
UACAGAGGUCUCAAGCGUUGUUCGGAUUCAUUGGGCGUAAAGGGUGCGUAGGUGGCGCCGUAAGUCGGGUGUGAAAUUUCGGAGCUUAACUCCGAAACUGCAUUCGAUACUGCGGUGCUUGAGGACUGGAGAGGAGACUGGAAUUCCGGGUGUAGCGGUGGAAUGCGUAGAGAUCCGGAGGAAGACCGGUGGCGAAGGCGGUCUGCUGGGCAGUUUCUGACACUGAGGCGCGACAGCGUGGGGAGCAAACAGG